AUUGAACGCUGGCGGCAUGCUUUACACAUGCAAGUCGAACGGCAGCGCGGGCUUCGGCCUGGCGGCGAGUGGCGAACGGGUGAGUAAUGCAUCGGAACGUGCCCAGUAGUGGGGGAUAGCACGGCGAAAGCCGGAUUAAUACCGCAUACGACCUGAGGGUGAAAGCGGGGGACCGAAAGGCCUCGCGCUAUUGGAGCGGCCGAUGUCGGAUUAGCUAGUUGGUGGGGUAAAGGCUUACCAAGGCGACGAUCCGUAGCUGGUCUGAGAGGACGACCGGCCACACUGGGACUGAGACACGGCCCAGGCUCCUACGGGAGGCAGCAGUGGGGAAUGUUGGGCAAUGGGGGCAACCCUGAUCCAGCCGUGCCGCGUGCGGGAAGAAGGCCUUCGGGUUGUAAACCGCUUUUGUUCGGGAAGAAAUCCUCUGGGCUAAUACCCCGGGGGGAUGACGGUACCGGAAGAAUAAGCACCGGCUAACUACGUG
rnacentral:rRNA from 1 species